AUUGAACGCUGGCGGCAUGCUUUACACAUGCAAGUCGAACGGCAGCGCGGGCUUCGGCCUGGCGGCGAGUGGCGAACGGGUGAGUAAUACAUCGGAACGUGCCCAGUAGUGGGGGAUAGCUCGGCGAAAGCCGGAGUAAUACCGCAUACGACCUGAGGGUGGAAGCGGGGGAUCUUCGGACCUCGCGCUAUUGGAGCGGCCGAUGGCAGAUUAGCUAGUUGGUGGGGUAAAGGCCUACCAAGGCGACGAUCUGUAGCUGGUCUGAGAGGACGACCAGCCACACUGGGACUGAGACACGGCCCAGACUCCUACGGGAGGCAGCAGUGGGGAAUUUUGGACAAUGGGCGAAAGCCUGAUCCAGCAAUGCCGCGUGUGUGAUGAAGGCCUUCGGGUUGUAAAGCCCUUUUGGCGGGAACGAAAAGGACUGUGCCAAUACCACGGUUCGAUGACGGUACCCGCAGAAUAAGCACCGGCUAACUACGUG
rnacentral:rRNA from 1 species